UACAGAGGUCCCAAGCGUUGUUCGGAUUCAUUGGGCGUAAAGGGUGUGUAGGUGGCGCCGUAAGUCGGGUGUGAAAUCGUCGGGCUUAACUCCGAAACUGCAUUCGAUACUGCGGUGCUUGAGGACUGGAGAGGAGACUGGAAUUCAUGGUGUAGCAGUGAAAUGCGUAGAGAUCAUGAGGAAGACCAGUGGCGAAGGCGGGUCUCUGGACAGUUCCUGACACUGAGACACGAAGGCCAGGGAGCAAACGGG
rnacentral:rRNA from 1 species